rnacentral:rRNA from 1 species
AGUGAACGCUGGCGGUAGGCCUAACACAUGCAAGUCGAACGGCAGCACAGUAAGAGCUUGCUCUUACGGGUGGCGAGUGGCGGACGGGUGAGGAAUACAUCGGAAUCUACUUUUUCGUGGGGGAUAACGUAGGGAAACUUACGCUAAUACCGCAUACGACCUACGGGUGAAAGCAGGGGAUCUUCUGACCUUGCGCGAUUGAAUGAGCCGAUGUCGGAUUAGCUAGUUGGCGGGGUAAAGGCCCACCAAGGCGACGAUCCGUAGCUGGUCUGAGAGGAUGAUCGGCCACACUGGAACUGAGACACGGUCCAGACGCCUACGGGAGGCAGCAGUGGGGAAUAUUGGACAAUGGGCGCAAGCCUGAUCCAGCCAUACCGCGUGGGUGAAGAAGGCCUUCGGGUUGUAAAGCCCUUUUGUUGGGAAAGAAAAGCAGCAGGUUAAUACCCCGCUGUUCUGACGGUACCCAAAGAAUAAGCACCGGCUAACUUCGUG